rnacentral:tRNA from 1 species
CAAAGUGUAGCUUAAACAAAGCGUCUGGCUUACACCCAGAAGAUUUCAUACUCAAUGACCACUUUGA